rnacentral:tRNA from 1 species
GGGCGGGUAGUCUAGUGGCUAUGACGUCGGCCUUACAAGCCGAAGGUCGCAGGUUCGAAUCCUGCCCCGCCCA